UAGAAUAAUUUAUGUUAACACAACAUCAUUUUAAUGGGUUUAGUUUGCAGAUCACUUCCGCUUAUAACUCCAGAGCAGAGGGUAGCAGUAAUGUGCGAAUUAGGAGUGCCCCUCAUUAUUUUAUAUUUAUCAGUCAGGCCAUGAUCAACGGUGUGUCCCUGACAAAAAGCAACCAUCACCUGUGGAAGAAGAAUUAAAGCGCAUUCCUGACAAGGGGUGCAUUUCAUGGCAGGGUGGCCGAAUUCGGCACAACAUCUGCCGCUGCUAGAGUUUAUGAUGGAUGGGGCUCACUGGAGCGAUGUCUAUGAACUCUUCCCUGGAAUGUUCAAGAGUACAGCCAUGGUAGCAGGGAAUCCUGGGAGCUGUCUUCCGCAUUGUCAUGUAGCUGAUCACAUAUAUGCCUGUAUGGAGACCACCUUCACCGUCAGGAGCAGGGCUGGUGGAGGGGGCGAUGAGGCCUAACUGGGCUGUGGUGUGUUCAAGACACUGAAAAAUUGUACAAGUACUAUAGGAAAAAUAUGAAUGACUAACACUGCAACUGACUAAUAACCUGAAAAAUGAGGAGGAAUUUGUUGAGUGAUAAGCAUAGUAUUUCAUACAUGCUACUCCUCAGUGACCUAUAACAAACAUCGUCUCCCUUCUGUAAAACAAAUGUGAGUCUUUUGUGUCUUUUGCUGACACUAAUAGAUGAAAAGUGUACCUGAAAAAAACUUCAGCAGAAGGCAAUUUAAAGGUGCAAAAUUGUUUUUACAUUCAUGUCUAUAUAGAAGGUAUGUGAACUUGGUUUGGUUAAAAAACCAGUUACUCAAGAUAAUUCACAGACUUUGCAGUGAGUAGUUUAAUGUAGGAACUAUUUUUAUCUACCAAACUCCACACACCGAUUGUAACACUGCACAGAAGAUAGGAGCACGAGCUCUCUGGUGAUAUGUUCUGUGCAGUGACACCAUUGGGCAAUGAGUUUUGUAGAUAAAAAUACUUCCUACAUUAAACUGCUCACUGCAAAGUCUGUGAAUUAUUUUGAGUAACUGGGUCAUGAUUCCUGGUAAGAGACGUUCCUGUCAAAUGUUUUGAAUGUAUUUUUUUGGCACUUUAAUCACCACAGAGAGAAUGGCUUUCAGUCCCAGUAUAUUUGAAAGAAGACCAAUAUUUCUAUGGCUUAUCUCAAAAUUUUGUCAACUACCAGCAGAACAACCUUGAUGAAUAGAUAGCUAUAAAGCCCCCUCUAAAACAUCUUUUUCAGUUUUGGGGUGAACUGCCCUUUUAAGAACUCCAGUAAUAAAGAGCUUGAAUCUGA